rnacentral:rRNA from 1 species
GGUAAUGCCGGAUGCUCCAUCACACUGCAUGGUGUGUUGGGAAAGCCUUUGCGGCAUGGGAUGGGGUCGCGUCCUAUCAGCUUGAUGGCGGGGUAACGGCCCACCAUGGCUUCGACGGGUAGCCGGCCUGAGAGGGCGACCGGCCACAUUGGGACUGAGAUACGGCCCAGACUCCUACGGGAGGCAGCAGUGGGGAAUAUUGCACAAUGGGCGCAAGCCUGAUGCAGCGACGCCGCGUGAGGGAUGGAGGCCUUCGGGUUGUAAACCUCUUUUGUUAGGGAGCAAGGCAUUUUGUGUUGAGUGUACCUUUCGAAUAAGCACCGGCUAACUACGUGCCAGCAGCCGCGGUAAUACGUAGGGUGCAAGCGUUAUCCGGAAUUAUUGGGCGUAAAGGGCUCGUAGGCGGUUCGUCGCGUCCGGUGUGAAAGUCCAUCGCUUAACGGUGGAUCCGCGCCGGGUACGGGCGGGCUUGAGUGCGGUAGGGGAGACUGGAAUUCCCGGUGUAACGGUGGAAUGUGUAGAUA